GACAAUCCCACGCUGACUGAGAAUGAGGCUUUGGGUGUGUGAAAGUGAACGGCUGGUGUGAGACCUGCAGGGCUGCAUCGGAUGAAGCAGAAGAUAGCGAGGGAGAGAUGCUUCUUCACAGGCUCCCGCUUCUCAGAUGGCAGCCCUCACCGUGACCGGUCAAGUACAAACCAGGUUGACUAUCUGGUAUAGUCUGCAGGAUUUAGAGUGUCUUCCCCUGACCACGCGGUGUUUCUCUCUGAAAGCGGCACUUGGUACCAGCACAAACUCUGUCUUCAGAAGUCCCACCAGGUGUUUUGGGGCACCAACUAUCAGGCCUCCCGGAUGGUAUCAAGGAGCUCAAACUCACCAGGUCACCACAUCUGGACAAUGAGAGGCCAAACCCCUCACCCGCCAUGACUGCCUAACCACCCACCUGCUACCUGUUGACUGACUCCUCUUCCUUAUCCCUCCCUAGUUCCUGUUUUCCUGCAUGUAGUUACAUUUCUUCCCUGCUAUAUAAACCCCUAAUUUUAGUCCGUCAGGGAGAUGGAUUUGAGACUGCUCUCCCGUCUCCUCAGCUGCAGCACCGAUUAAAGCCUUCUUCCCUGGC